rnacentral:rRNA from 1 species
UACGAAGGGGGCUAGCGUUGCUCGGAAUGACUGGGCGUAAAGGGCGCGUAGGCGGUUCGUACAGUCAGACGUGAAAUUCCCGGGCUCAACCUGGGGACUGCGUUUGAUACGUACGGGCUUGAGUUCGGAAGAGGGUCGUGGAAUUCCCAGUGUAGAGGUGAAAUUCGUAGAUAUUGGGAAGAACACCAGUGGCGAAGGCGGCGACCUGGUCCGAUACUGACGCUGAGGCGCGAAAGCGUGGGGAGCAAGCAGG